rnacentral:rRNA from 1 species
UACAGAGGGUGCAAGCGUUGUUCGGAAUUAUUGGGCGUAAAGCGCGUGUAGGCGGCUUUGCAAGUCGGGUGUGAAAGCCCGGGGCUCAACCCCGGAAUUGCGCCCGAAACUGCUCGACUUGAAUGCGGGAGAGGGAAGCGGAAUUCCUGGUGUAGAGGUGAAAUUCGUAGAUAUCAGGAGGAACACCAGUGGCGAAAGCGGCUCCUGGCCCGACAUUGACGCUCAUGUACGAAAGCGCGGGGAGCAAACAGG